rnacentral:rRNA from 1 species
GUACAUGCCCAAAGCAUAGUGUUAAUGCACCGGAUCCCAUUAGAACUUCGGAGUUAAGCGCGCUCAGGAUAGAGUAGUACUAGCAUGGGUGAUCGCCUGAGAAGUCCUAGUGUAGUGUUUU